rnacentral:lncRNA from 1 species
UCAAUUGAAAUAAGCAUGUAGUUAAACAAGUAGAGAAAUUCAAAGGCUAAAUUAUAUUAAAACGUAACAAAAAUUCAUCCUACAAAAGGUUCAAUCAAAUACUGGAUAAGAAAUUAGCUAUUUAUAAUGGUAUGUAAAACUACAAUACUAAAAUUCAUAACCAACAAUGAAAAAUAGGAAGAAGAAAGGAAAAGCUCGUUGCCGAAUCUUUUGCCUUGCUCCUAUUGUAUUUUUGCCUCCAAAAGUAUAGUGUCUCCACAAAAAGUCAUUUUAGAGUGUGCUUAUAUCAAUUAGGGUUUGUAUGUGGCAGACUUGGCAUCUCCUAUUUUGGAUAGGAGAAGCUAGAGCCGCGUCCACAAUCCGCGCGUCUCGUGAGACCCAGAUUGCUCCUAGCAUUCUGUUUUUCUUGCUUUGGUCCUGGUCUAGAGCAAUGAACCAUGCUUCUCUGUCAGGGAUUCUACUCUUCCAGCUCUUUUUUUUGUCAACUUUUCUCCCUUUUUAUCCUCUUCCGCACAAUAUCGUUCCUACAUAUAAUAAAUACGUAAUGAGUAUAUUUCACAUUAAAAAUAAUGUGAUCUCCCGCAACUCUACGCAAACACAUUAAAAAUAUGCACUUUUCAAGAUUUAUCACCACCCCACACUUAAACUCUUGGUUGUCCUUGAGCACAUAAAAUUAAACACAUAGGCAGGUAAUACAAUUCAAACUUACUUAAUUAUCACACCAAUGACAGAAGUUUAUAUUAAUGGUUAGGACCAACAUACGACCUAUAAACAUAUUUCCUCAAGUUUAGACUCAUGCCAAAACUAUUUAAAAUAUUUGGGUGGCUUUUUCUUACAUCAUAGCCUCAAAGGUUACUCCAAUACAUUCCUUUCUAUGACUCGCUUCUUGUACCAACCAAAGAUCCGAGGACCUUACUAAUCCGUCGCAAAUCAUGUGCCCCCAACUACACACCAAAGAUAGUAAUAAGUCUGCACAAUCAGAUAUGUAUUCGAGCAUAAUUUAAGGACUCAUAUAUCGAAAAUAUUCGCUCAUUCUCGCAAAGAAACUCAUAUGCCACCAAAGUUCACACCAUAGGCUUGUUCGCUGUGUUAGUCUCUACUAAUUUAAGCUCGUAAAGUGUAGGAUCAGUUAGGUGUUUACGAGUGCAAUGUAGGCUAAGGGAUGAGUAAGAUAUAUAUCGAGCAUAAUUUAAGGACUCAUAUAUCGAAAGAAUUCACUCAUUCUCGCAAAGAAACUCAUAUGCCACCAAAGUUCACACCACAGGCUUGUUCGCCGUGUUAGUCUCUACUAAUUUAAACUCAUAAAGUCUAGGAUCAGUUAGGUGUUUACGGAUGCAAUGCAGGCUAAGGGAUAAGUAAGAUAGAUAUCGAGCAUAAUUUAAGGACUCAUAUAUCGAAAGAAUUCGCUUUUUCACAAAUAAACUCAUAUGCCACCAAAGUUCACACCAUAGCACUACGACAAAAAUGGUCUUUAGCGGCAAUAAAAUUCUCCUUUAGCGGCAAUAUCAAUUGCCGCUAAAACUUUUACCGGCAAUUUCGCCGAAAGCUGGUAAAGACACUAUUAAUUGCC